rnacentral:rRNA from 1 species
AGUGAACGCUGGCGGUAGGCCUAACACAUGCAAGUCGAACGGCAGCACAGUAAGAGCUUGCUCUUACGGGUGGCGAGUGGCGGACGGGUGAGGAAUACAUCGGAAUCUACUUUUUCGUGGGGGAUAACGUAGGGAAACUUACGCUAAUACCGCAUACGACCUACGGGUGAAAGCAGGGGAUCUUCGGGCCUUGCGCGAUUGAAUGAGCCGAUGUCGGAUUAGCUAGUUGGCGGGGUAAAGGCCCACCAAGGCGACGAUCCGUAGCUGGUCUGAGAGGAUGAUCAGCCACACUGGAACUGAGAUACGGUCCAGACUCCUACGGGAGGCAGCAGUGGGGAAUAUUGGACAAUGGGCGCAAGCCUGAUCCAGCCAUACCGCGUGGGUGAAGAAGGCCUUCGGGUUGUAAAGCCCUUUUGUUGGGAAAGAAAAGCAGCAGGUUAAUACCCCGCUGUUCUGACGGUACCCAAAGAAUAAGCACCGGCUAACUUCGCG